rnacentral:lncRNA from 1 species
AUCAUUUCCCCGUCACAAUGUAGAGGUUAGAGAGAGAAGCUCAAACUCUCACUAGAGUUUUCCUUGUGCAUUUGUGAGCUCAUAGAUUCUUGUUCGAUUUCACCUUUACUCCUUGGUAAUUUCGAAUAUAAUAUUGUAGAUUUUGUUAAAAUCUGUCCAAAUUCAAGUGUUAGCUUCAAAGAUCAAUUUUCUUGAAGCAUUAUAGACCAGUCUGUUCAAAAACUAGAGGCAGGUUCAAGGCCUGUUGGCCAGCUGCUUGUUUUGAUUCUUUAAAAGCUACCUGCUUCAUUAAACUCCAGGCAGCCACCUCACCAGCAGCCUGCUUGUUUUAAUGCCAGGUAACAUCUCAAUCUUUUGUGCCAGUGGCUUGUCUGAAGGCCAGGCAGCACUUAAGUCCUGUCCAAAUUCAAAAGGUAAGCUAUGAAGUUUUCGAGCUUCUUGUAGUCUUGAAGUUGGUGAAAAUUUCGAAGUGUAGGUUUAUGCAUCCAGUUUCUUUUGUGUUUGAAGCUUUAAUGGCUGAGUCCAGCUUCUUGGCAAAGUUGAUUUUCCUUGAAGGUAAGUUCGGCCAGUUAUGUGCUGUCCCAGAUGGUAAAUUAAAACGGUGGCAGCAGUAAUGCAGCAAUGUUGACCGUUUUUAAGCAGUAUUUUAUUUGCCCAUAUUGGCAAAAAAUUUCAGAAAUUGGUGCUGUUCAAGCCAGUUCAGUCCAUUAAUGUCUGGAAAUUAUGUUCUUAAAGAUCCAGGUCAGUUUAUUAGCAGAUGUUCUUCCGGCCAGCAGGGUGCUUGUUUGGGUAUCUUUCAAGAUUUAAAACCUAGUUGAAGGUUUGGAACCUGGUCAGCAGCCAGCCUGUCCAAAGUUUUUUGUUCGUAAAGGUGAAGCUACUGGCCACUCAAAGUUGUUUCUUGUUCACUAGUAGCCUGCUUGGUAUUAAAACCUGCCCAGCAGAUUGAUGCAAGUUCGCUCAAUUUCUUGGUACAUCUCUUUAAUGUUGUUCGAUUUUAGACUGCUGUAUCGAAUAUGUUAAAAUUUAGUUGAAUUCAGGGUAUUGAUCAGUUUGUCACAGUUCUAGGUUGUUGGCAGAUUUCUUCACUCUUUGUUUGAAUAUUUUCCUGGCCUCGGUCGAAGUUCAAAUCCAGCUUAACUCCUUGAAACCUGACCAACAGCUUUUGUGCUUUUUUCAUCCAGUUUCCUUGACUGUUUCGACCUUGUUUGAGAAUCACUGAAUCAGGUGAGUUUGGUCAGAUUUGCUUCAGCUUCGUUCUUGUUGGCAGAUUUCUAGUUUUCUAAUUCCUCUCACCCCCCAAUUGAAAAUUUUGAAUCUUCCAGCCGACCUUGCAAUGGUACAACACUUUUUUUCCCCCUUUCUUUUUACAAACACUACCAUGUCUU